GACGAACGCUGGCGGCGUGCUUAACACAUGCAAGUCGAACGGAAAGGCCCUGCUUUUGUGGGGUGCUCGAGUGGCGGACGGGUGAGUAACACGUGAGUAACCUGCCCUUGACUUUGGGAUAACUUCAGGAAACUGGGGCUAAUUCCGGAUAGGAGCUCCUGUUGCAUGGUGGGGGUUGGAAAGUUUCGGCGGUUGGGGAUGGACUCGCGGCUUAUCAGCUUGUUGGUGGGGUAGUGGCUUACCAAGGCUUUGACGGGUAGCCGGCCUGAGAGGGUGACCGGCCACAUUGGGACUGCGAUACGGCCCAGACUCCUACGGGAGGCAGCAGUGGGGAAUAUUGCACAAUGGGCGGAAGCCUGAUGCAGCAACGCCGCGUGCGGGAUGACGGCCUUCGGGUUGUAAACCGCUUUCGCCUGUGACGAAGCGUGAGUGACGGUAAUGUGUAAAGAAGCACCGGCUAACUACGUG
rnacentral:rRNA from 1 species